GCCGGGAACGGGCAGUCCGUGUAGAGAGAGUGCGUGGCAUGGCCAAUGGUCACGUGGAACUGGAUCUAAAAACACAGCAAGCGGGUACUUCUGGAUCUUUGGGCCGAACGCCGCCAAGCCGUAGUAGCCGUACAUCAGCACGUGAAUGCCAGCGUUAAUUGUAGCUCCAAAGAAAGCUGAGAAGAAGAAAGGGAAACCAAGCGUGCCAAUGAGGGUGAUGAUGGAUGCCAGGAUAACAGCAUGAGGAAACUCUGAGCGACGUCAGUGAAACUGCUGUCCUGGGAUUCUGCAUUCCCUCCUCCUCAUUACAAUUGAAAGACAUAAAGUGACUGGUGUGUAUUACAGAGAAGUGGGCGUCACUGUUUUUUCAAGGCUGUCUUUAAAUCAUCGAGUCACAACUAAAUCAUAUUCCACACCUGAGUGCCAGGUGUUCAGUUAACAGCGGGAUCACUCACAGCUGGAGCAGAUGUGCAGUGUAAGAGAGUUCACAUCAUCUCACCUGUGUCACUGACCGCUGAACAACUGGACUGGACAACACAACACACACUACAGAGCUUGCCACGUGGAGACGCAGGCCGAGGUGACUGAUCAGAUGAACUCAAUUUCCGCUCCAAGCCAAGCAGCUUUCUGUUGGUCCAAGUGACGAAUCCAUGUGAGCAACUUGAACCAUCUUUCGCCCUCACACGAAAAACCCAUUCAUCCACAAAACAUGCCAAACAAAGUAGCCUUCCAGUCUGUUCAGACUCGGUUUUACAAAACCCAGUCCAGCCCUGUUGUCACCAAAGAGCGAAUGAACCAGAUGGAUUACAUUCAGACGGCUCCAGUAAAUGGGUCCUCUGGAGAACGGCUGCAUACUUUCAUUUGCUUUUUUU